UAGCAACUAAACCACCACCUGGCGUUCCUUCACAUUCACUCCUUGGGAGGAACAGCCCUUCUCAGGCUGCCUUCUGAUGCCAGGUUGGAGAAUAAACAGAGAAGUGGGCACAAAAUCAAUGCCAUCUUGCCUGAACCAGAAGCCCAGGGUGUGUUUUACAACCUAGGGAAGAGAUUUCAUGGAGGGAAGUUGAGGAGGAAAGUGGAAAGGAGUCCACAGUUCGCUGGAAAUGAAAGUCAUGCACUCCUUUUCUUUAGAAGUCAUGGGAAGAUGAGAAAGUAUAUUUUCUAGGUGGCUCAAUUUUGAAAUGAAAUAUAGAUAACAAUGGAGUGAUCAACUCUGGAAAUUACCUUCCUUUCGAUAUGCAUCAUUAGUGCUACCUUUGCUUUUAGUGUGAAACCGAAAAACUCAUUGCAAAGACCGAUGGCAAGACUACCUCAAUGUUUUCUUCUAGGGGUGUAAUCGCUUAAAGUCUUAUGUUCAACUUUGUAACCCCUUUUUAGUUAAUUUCUGUGUAUGCUAAAAGACAGGGGCACAGUUUUGUUUUUUCAUAGAACUAUCCAGUUUUCCCAGUGCAUUUUUGAAAAGCUUGUCCUUUCCCCACUGGAUAUUCUUGGCUCCUUUCUCAUAAGCUAACCGACAAUAUAUGGGUGUCCGUUUC